rnacentral:rRNA from 1 species
AACGAACGCUGGCGGCGCGCCUAAUACAUGCAAGUCGAACGAGAAGCUGUAGCAAUACAGUUGUACAGUGGCGAACGGGUGAGGAAUACAUGGGUGACCUACCCUCGAGUGGGGAAUAACCAGCCGAAAGGUUGGCUAAUACCGCGUACGCUUCCCAGUCUACGGGUUGGGAAGGAAAGCGAUGCCGUGGGUAUCGCGCUCAAGGUUGGGCUCAUGUCCUAUCAGCNGUUGGUGGGGUAACGGCUCACCAAGGCAACGACGGGUAGCUGGUCUGAGAGGACGAUCAGCCACACUGGCACUGCGACACGGGCCAGACUCCUACGGGAGGCAGCAGUAAGGAAUAUUGCGCAAUGGGCGAAAGCCUGACGCAGCGACGCCGCGUGGGGGA